UGUCAUUGAAAAUGUGUUGUCUCAUGAUA
rnacentral:piRNA from 1 species